rnacentral:rRNA from 1 species
UACGUAGGGGGCAAGCGUUGUCCGGAUUCAUUGGGCGUAAAGAGCGUGUAGGCGGCCAGGUAGGUCGGUUGUGAAAACUGGAGGCUCAACCUUCAGAGGUCGACCGAAACCAUCUGGCUAGAGUCCGGGAGAGGAGAGUGGAAUUCCUGGUGUAGCGGUGAAAUGCGCAGAUAUCAGGAGGAACACCGAUGGCGAAGGCAGCUUACUGGGCCGAAACUGACGCUGAGGAGCGAAAGCGUGGGGAGCGAACAGG